AUGGACUUCAGAGGACAGGAUGAGACCCUUGCACAGGGUCCAUGGCAAGGAGGGCUGGGCAGGAUCAGGGAGCAGCAUCCCAGCUGCCUUCUGCAUUCCCAGCCACACAUGCCUUCCAGUGCCACUGUUCCCUUCAUUUCCCCUCCCUGGGGCACGUGGGGCCAUAUCCAUGGGCACAGGGGGCAGGACAGGGUAGUGGGGACCCCAGGCUCUCCUCCCAGCCCUGACGCUGGUUUCUGUGUGACUAGUGACUGGGGCACAGCUGAGACUGAACUGCUGGGGAGAGGAAGAGGAAGAGGAAGAAGAGCAGAACCACUCUGUCUGGGGACCUUGCUGCUAGUGCCCAUGGGGGCUCCGGUCCAGCCUGCCUGUGGGCUGGGGCUGUGCCCAUUGCCAUGCACUGCAGUCCCCUCUGGUUGCCCCCAGUCUCAUCACCGUGCCCUCACACUGAGGGAAGAAACGGGGGACACAGCCUGGAUGUACAACAUGGGUGCCAGAUGUGUGUGCCAGAUGUGUGUGCCCCCACAUGCACACUCAAAACCCCCUGAGCCACACACAGGCUGCCAUGUACACCCCGCUGGUGCUGAUGUGCACACUUGCACACACUCCGGUUGGCACACCCCCACAGCCUGGCACACACAGACAGGCCAGCACAUGGUGCCACGUGUGCAGAGACACACCUGCACUGUCACACCCGAGCACACGGCCACCUGUGCCGGCUGUCCUGUCAUCACACACCCAUGCACCCAUCAUAUGUGCUGUGUGCUCUCCCAUGUGCCCCAUGGCAUGUGUGGGGUGUCACACACACCAGUGCAUGUCACACACACCAGUGCGGGUCACACACACCAGUGCGUGUCACACACUCGUGUCGAUUUCACACACUCAUGUCCAUGUCACACCAGUGCCCCACUCAUGUGCAUACAGGGUCACACCCGCACACAUGGGUGCACACACAGCCCCUCCCGAGCCUCCCCUGCACAGGUGCCCUGGCGAGCACUGCACACGGGCUGA
rnacentral:lncRNA from 1 species